rnacentral:tRNA from 1 species
AGGGUCGUGGUGUAACGGCAGCAUGACGGACUUUUACUCCGUCCGGUGUGGGUUCAAAUCCCUCCGGCCCUA